CUCCCGGGUCUUGUACACACCGCCCGUCACACCAUGGGAGUGGGUUUCACCAGAAGUAGGUAGCCUAACCGUAAGGGGGGCGCUUACCACGGUGGGAUUCAUGACUGGGGUG
rnacentral:rRNA from 1 species